rnacentral:rRNA from 1 species
CAGUCGCCACGGUAAUACGAAGGGGGCUAGCGUUGUUCGGAAUUACUGGGCGUAAAGCGCACGUAGGCGGAUAUUUAAGUCAGGGGUGAAAUCCCGCAGCUCAACUGCGGAACUGCCUUUGAUACUGGGUAUCUUGAGUAUGGAAGAGGUUAGUGGAAUUGCGAGUGUAGAGGUGAAAUUCGUAGAUAUUCGCAGGAACACCAGUGGCGAAGGCGGCUAACUGGUCCAUAACUGACGCUGAGGUGCGAAAGCGUGGGGAGCAAACAGGAUUAGAUACCCGGGUAGUCCCUGUCUCUUAUAC